ensembl:miRNA
CAGGAACUGGAGGCAAGAACUGAAGCAGAGGCAGUGGAGGGAACACUGCUUAUUAGCUUGCUCUCCAUAG